GUUACUGCUAUCGAGGUUCGACUAAGCCAUGCGAGUCGAAUGUAGCAAUACAUGGCGUACUGCUCAGUAACACGUGGAUAACCUACCCUUGAGAUGGGAAUAAACCCGGGAAACUGGGUAUAAUACCCGAUAGAUCUCGACUGCUGGAAUGCAUCGAGAUCCAAAGCUCCGGCGCUCAAGGAUGGGUCUGCGGCCUAUCAGGUAGUAGUGGGUGUAGCGUACCUACUAGCCUACGACGGGUACGGGUUGUGAGAGCAAGAGCCCGGAGAUGGAUUCUGAGACACGAAUCCAGGCCCUACGGGGUGCAGCAGGCGCGAAAACUUUACAAUGCUGGAAACAGCGAUAAGGGGACCUCGAGUGCCAGGUUACAAAUCUGGCUGUCGUGAUGCCUAAAAAGCAUUGCAUAGCAAGGGCCGGGCAAGACCGGUGCCAGCCGCCGCGGUAACACCGGCGGCUCGAGUGGUAACCGUUAUUAUUGGGUCUAAAGGGUCUGUAGCCGGCCGGAUAAGUCUCUUGGGAAAUCUGGCAGCUUAACUGUCAGGCUUUCAGGAGAUACUGUCUGGCUCGAGGCCGGGAGAGGUKAGAGGUACUUCAGGGGUAGGGGUGAAAUCUUGUAAUCCUUGAAGGACCACCAGUGGCGAAGGCGUCUCACCAGAACGGACCUGACGGCAAGGGACGAAAGCUAGGGGCACGAACCGGAUUAGAUACCCGGGUAGUCCUAGCCGUAAACGAUACUCGCUAGGUGUCGGCAACGGUGCGACCGUUGUCGGUGCCGUAGGGAAGCCGUGAAGCGAGCCACCUGGGAAGUACGGCCGCAAGGCUGAAACUUAAAGGAAUUGGCGGGGGAGCACCACAACGGGUGGAGCUUGCGGUUUAAUUGGAUUCAACGCCGGAAAUCUUACCGGGACCGACAGCAAUAUGAAGGCCAGGCUGAAGACUUUGCCGGAUUAGCUGAGAGGUGGUGCAUGGCCGUCGUCAGUUCGUACUGUGAAGCAUCCUGUUAAGUCAGG
rnacentral:rRNA from 1 species